UCUAACAUUCUACAAACAGCGUAAUGCGACUCCUCUUGAACUGGCGUGCGAUUACCAUUUUAGUCAUAGAUUGGUUUUUGAUUUUAAUUUAAAAAGUCUUUUUUUUUUUGGCAUACAAAAGCAAAGAACUUAAAAUAGCACUGAGUACUUACUGACCAAUCGCUAUGUUCGCUGUGUGUUCGACAGAGUACGUGUUGGUGUUUGCUACAAAUGUCGUACUCUUAAUUCAACCAUUUGACAUUGAUUUGUCAGUACUACUUGUGGUAUAUUGUAGGGUUCGUGUUUGAUAUGUCAUUCUUUUCCAUUGAACUACAGAUCAAGUCGAUGAAGAAUAAUUGUAAAAUGGAAAUCAAAGAUUGAAAUUUCAUCACGCUAGAACAAACAGACAGACAGGCUGUUAAUUAGUGGAAUGAUAGAAACAACAAGGUGAUAAGUGGGACACUUAUCUGUGAUAAAAUUAGGACGGAUUAAAACAAAUUAUGUCGAUUUCAUUAUCUCGGAUAUUCAAUUGAUAACUCAUCAAUUAUUCGAUGAAAUCAGUUAUCGUGGCUACACCCCCCCCCCCCCCCCCUUCCACCCCAACCAAACUUUUUUUGGAUGAUCCGCAAAUCAUGGAAAGUAGCGUUACCAAGUCUUUGCCACGUUUCUUAUUUCGUUAACCAUUAUAUUCCAUGGAUCACCUAAACAACGAAACCCACCAAAACUGGUGUCCAACGAAUAUUGAUGAACCCACUGUAUUCGAUUAUUUAUAAACUUUUCGUCGU
rnacentral:misc_RNA from 1 species